rnacentral:lncRNA from 1 species
CACUGUGGGUAUUUAUUAAUUCAUAAAAUGUUGCUGCAUGGCAUGUUACCAAGGCUGGAUAAAGCAUUCACACAAAGAUAAAUGGGUUGAGGCUGAGUCAAUCUCAUAGCAAAAGAGAGAUUCUGGGUUCAGCAACAGGGGGAUUUUGUAAGGAUUAAUCUCCUUACUGAGACUAAUAAAGUGGGACUAUAAUUGGAAUUAACCAUUCAGUUCUUCACACAUGAAAAACUCUGUGUCACUCAUACCCUUAUACAAACAGGAUGUUUACAAUCCAAGCAUUCUUUUCUUUAAAAAUCUUAAAACCAGAAUGAAUUAGUUCUCAAAGACUAUCUACUCUUGUAAUGUAAAAUAGCUGAACAAAACAUCUUGAACAGCGUUUGAGUUUCAAGGAUCUUAACAUUUCAAAGUACAUGACCAUUACAUUCACAAACAUAUUAUGUUUUGGUACAAAAUACUGCCAUAUAGUGUGUGUGUGUGUGUGUGUUAUGGAGCAAGGCACUACAUAAUUCUUGUUACCUCCUACUCUCAGGGAGGUGUGGCUACAGAGAGCUUCAAAAGUCCUUGGAGUCACAUCAGUAAGUAAAAUACCAUGUGGCUCAACUGUGCUGGAAACAAAAUGCAUAGGUUCUGCUUUCUACAAACUCUCAGUCUAGAGUGUUCAGUAGACAUACUGAGGGUAUGAUAAAUGCUAUACAACUGUUGGAUGUAUAAUAUAAAAAGACUGAAUAUGUGUGCCAGUGAUAGCACAAGGGGGAAGGGAACAGAUAUGUAGGAACGAACUUUUCAUAUGCUACCAAGUUCAUUAUUAAUCUAAAAUACAGCAUUGAUUGGAAUUCUGAGGGUAAGCACUAAAACUUUGAAAAUGUAGCAAGAAGUGACAAGGAAAUUAAAGUCAUACAGUAAAAAUAGCCAUUUAAGACAAAAAUCGACAGUAACAAAGGUGCAGAGGGAC